rnacentral:rRNA from 1 species
CUCGCAAGAGCAAAGCAGGGGACCUUCGGGCCUUGCGCUACCGGAUAUGCCCAGGUGGGAUUAGCUAGUUGGUGAGGUAAGGGCUCACCAAGGCGACGAUCCCUAGCUGGUCUGAGAGGAUGAUCAGCCACACUGGAACUGAGACACGGUCCAGACUCCUACGGGAGGCAGCAGUGGGGAAUACUGCACAAUGGGCGCAAGCCUGAUGCAGCCAUGCCGCGUGUAUGAAGAAGGCCUCGG